GCCCGUUUGGCCAAGUGGUAAGGCGUCGCACUCGUAAUGCGAAGAUCCACGGUUCGAUCCCGUGAACGGGCA